AAAUUCCAGGAGCACAGAAGUCAGCGGGCAUCUCCUGGAGACAGGCAGACAUUUGGUCUCAGCAGCCAUGCCCAAAGUCAUGAAGGAUGUUGUGUACCCCUUGGGGGGAGAGGAGCCUAGCAUGGCGAGAGCUGUGGUUCGCAGCGUGGGAGGCUUUACCCUGGGCUUGUCUUUAGCCACGGCCUACGGGCUUCUGGAGCUACUGGUGGAAGGCCACAGCCCCUGGGGUUGCCUGGUGGGCACCCUCACUUUGGCUGCCUUCCUUAGCCUGGGCAUGGGAUUCUCUCGCCAGGUCCGAGCCACUGUCCUCCUGCUGCUGCCUCAGGCCUUCUCCAGGCAGGGCCGGACACUACUGUUGGUGGCUGCUUUUGGGUUGGUGCUUCAAGGGCCUUGUGCCAACACUCUACGCAACUUCACCCGGGCCAGCGAGGCUGUGGCCUGUGGGGCAGAGCUGGCCCUGAAUCAGACCGCCGAAGUGCUACAGAGGGCCAAGCAACCUCUUGUCAGUGCCCUGAACAAGAUUAAAGCUAUUGCCCAGAAGACCAAAGAGGUGGCUGACCGGGUCCGCAAGUUCUUUCGGUCAAUCAUGGAUGGUGUGAAACACAUAGCCAGGGCUCUCCGGAAUGUAUGGCAGUGGCUCCUGCACAUCGGCGAUGUGUGCAACUCGGAACUGGGCAACCCUUACCUGAAGUGUGCACGGGUUUUUGAUGAUGCCAAGGACAGCUGCAUGAUGGUCAUACCACAAGCCUACCACCUGUGUUACGUGCUCAUGCCCUUCAAACUGGCGCUCUGUGGACUUGCCAGCCGUGAGAAAACCAGGGUCUGCCAGCGGGGAGGAGCCGAUGUGGGGUGGGGUGGGGUGGGAAUGUGGGGGUCAGUUGGGAGGGCAGGCUCAGGAGGACGAUUAGAGGGCAACAGGGAGGAACCAAUAAGCUUGGUAGGACCAGUAUUGGGGGUGGGGGUGGGCAGUAGGGAGGGACUGGUGUUGGGAGAGAAGGGUGACAGGGAGGUGCUACAAGGUUUUGAGCAAAUGUGGAGGCCAAUAGGAAAAUCGAAAAGAGGCCCUGUGAGAAGAGGUCUCCAGAGGUCGGGGGCAGGCCUGGCUGUGCCCCUCCUUCCGACACUCAGCCGACUCCGCCCCUCAGUGGUCCAGGUGUUCUGCGUCAUCCCUAAGUACAUUCAACCCUUCUUGCGCCAGACCAUCGGCACCCCCGUGAUUCAGUUGCUCAACCGGGUGCGUCAGGAGUUUGAGUUCAACAUGACAGCCACCCACCACUUCUCUGUGGAUCUCAAUGCCUCUCGGAGCCUGUCCCAGGUAGCCAUGGACCUCCACGAGGCUGUCAGCAUGAAGCUGCACCGUGUCCGAGAGGCCCUGGCUCUGAUGGGCUUCACCACGCCUCUGCUGCUUGUGCUUCUCUACCUCCAAGCCCUAUUUUACCGGUAUUGUUACCUGAACUGGGACCAUUAUGACAAUAUCUACAUCACCAGCCGAUUCCUGCGCAUGGAGGCUGUACGCUCCACGGCAGGGCUGCCCACAGUGCUACCGCUCAGUGCUCACGAGGCCAGGCGCUACAUCCCACCGGGCUCCAUCUUCUUGUCCCAGUGGGAGAAGUUUUUUUACAUUCUGGAGACCUUCAACCUUAUCCGACACCUCCUCCUUGUGCUGUUCCUAGUCUUCCUAGACUAUGCUGUCUUCUGGGUGCUUGACCUGGCCCGGCACCAGCUGCAGGGGGAGAUUGUGGCCCGCAGUCCUGUGUUGGUGUCUAUAACCGUGGAAGGUACUGGCUACGCUGGGAAUAUUUAUCGUGACCUGGUGUCAGCAUUUGAUGUCCUGCAGCAAGGCAACAUCAGUAUUUUGUCCCGGCGUUGUCUCCUUCGUCCCUCGGAGCCUGACAGCACUGGCUACAUAGUCAUUGGCGUCAUGUAUGGCCUAUGCUUCUUCAUCACCCUGUUUGGCAGCUAUGUCAGCCGGCUGCGGCGAGUCAUCUGUGCCUCCUACUACCCAUCCCGGGAGCAGGAAUGAAUAAAAGUGUUACGGAAACCCAGAGGAGAGAGUGGUAACUCCACCUGGGCAAGUCCAGAAGACUUCCCAGAGGAAGGGGCAUUUGAGCCAAACCUAGAGGGAUUCAUAGGAGUUGGAUAGAAGGAAAAGGAAAGGAUCUCCUACCUGUACAACGUACUUCUGAGCCGCCGAACCAAUCUGUUGGCUGCCCUGCACCGAUCAGUGAGGCGGCGGGCGGCUGACCAGGGCCACAGAAGUGCCUUCCUAGUGCUGGCCAGUCGGUGCCCCUGCCUAGGUCCAUUUGUCAGCCACUUUUGGCUGCAUCAGGCCUACUGCCUGGGCUGUGGGCAGCCCCAGGAUGAGGGAGACAUGGAGAACACUGUGUCCUGCAGUACCCCCGGCUGCCAAGGUCUCUACUGCCUCACUUGCUUCCGCCUCCUGGACAAUACCUGCUCCGUGUGUGCAUCUCCCCUCUCCUACCAGGGGGACCUGGACCUGGAGCUGGACUCCAGCGAUGAGGAGGGCCCUCAGCUAUGGCUGGCUGCAGCUCAAAGGAAGGACCCUGAGCAGGCAUGGUUACUGCAGCAACAGCUCCAAGAAGUGCUCGGCAGGAGCCUCUCAAUGGAGUCCACUUCCGAGUCCAGUGACCUGGAUGAGGAGAAGGGGCCUCAGCAGAGGAAGCACGGGCAGCAGUCCUUACCUGAAGCCCAUCAGCCUGUCAGCAUUCUCACCAGCCCUGAGCCCCACAGACCACCUGAGACAUCCUCCGCCACUAAAGGAGCCCCCACUCCAGCUUCAGAACCCUCAGUCCCUCUCUCACCUCCCUCUCUUCCUGAUCCUUCCCACCCACCCCCCAAAUAAACCAAAAGUGGACACAA